UAGGGAAUCUUCCACAAUGGACGCAAGUCAGAUGGAGCAACGCCGCGUGAGUGAAGAAGGUUUUCGGAUCGUAAAGCUCUGUUGUUGGUGAAGAAGGAUAGAGGCAGUAACUGGUCUUUAUUUGACGGUAAUCAACCAGAAAGUCACGGCUAACUACGUGCCAGCAGCCGCGGUAAUACGUAGGUGGCAAGCGUUGUCCGGAUUUAUUGGGCGUAAAGCGAGCGCAGGCGGAAUGAUAAGUCUGAUGUGAAAGCCCACGGCUCAACCGUGGAACUGCAUCGGAAACUGUCAUUCUUGAGUGCAGAAGAGGAGAGUGGAAUUCCAUGUGUAGCGGUGGAAUGCGUAGAUAUAUGGAAGAACACCAGUGGCGAAGGCGGCUCUCUGGUCUGCAACUGACGCUGAGGCUCGAAAGCAUGGGUAGCGAACAGG
rnacentral:rRNA from 1 species